AAGAAUAGAGCUGCCUUCUGUCUUUCAGUCCUGCUUUCUGUUGCAGUAAAAAUUCAAUUUAAAAUUACCUGUAGAUGUGACCAGCUACACAGCUGAACUUUGAAACAUUAAAACUUUGCAUUAAAAGCAUUUUGUUAACAUAGGUCCGAUACUGUGCCAUCUUCAUAAAUGGCCUAAAGAACCUGGCAGAAAUCUUGUUUUGCUGAGCAGCUGACUUCUACCUUGUCAAUACAGAGUACACUUAAGUAGAGCUUUCAGACUAAUUCUCUAUGCGUUUCUCACUCAAGGUUACAAGCAAGACUUGAACUCUCAGGCUCUGAAGUCGAAAGAUGGGAUUCUUCUAUACCAGAUCUUUUGAGGAGCCCAACUGCAGCCUUUGUGUCAGACUGCCUAUGCUGUGGUACAAAACGACGUUAUUCCCAGGGGCUGGUCUUGCUGAAGUUAAAUAUGUGCCUUCCUUUAUCAAACUGCUCUCUGCAAUUUCUGCACAUUUCACAAGGGGAUUGAUACUGGUGAGUAAAAUUUACAACCAGAAACCUCAGCCCCUUUAGAAAACCAAAGAGGAGUUGGAAGAAAUUGUGUGUGUUUCAAAAACUAAUGUUUAGGUGUUCUGACAUGCAAGUGUAACCAGUGGUAAUGUCAAUGACUUUUUUUUUAAUAAACUCUUUGCAGCUGAAAAAUGUGAUCACUCCAACAAAACAAACAGCUUAACCUGCAGAAAUGAAGUGCCGGCAGCUGGCAGUUUGGCUGUUUAAUAAACUCCUUCUGCUAUCA